rnacentral:rRNA from 1 species
AAACUUUCAACAACGGAUCUCUUGGCUCUGGCAUCGAUGAAGAACGCAGCGAAAUGCGAUAAGUAAUGUGAAUUGCAGAAUUUAGUGAAUCAUCUAAUCUUUGAACGCACAUUGCGCCCCUUGGUAUUCCGAGGGGCAUGGCUGUUCGAGCGUC